AAGUGUUGCCCUGCAUGUGGGUCGAUGCAGUUUCAAUGAAUACGGCAAAGUUAUCGCAUGUUCAGGCUCUUUUCCUAGCAUUUGCGUUCACUUCUCAUAUAGGCUCGACGUACUGCAAUCAAUUGCAGUGGCACAUAGAGAUAGGCCUUUUCUUCGACACAAAUUAUCAUCCUCAUCCCCCUUCGACCGUAAGGAGUAUACGUGAAUAUUGUGAAGAAUUGUUCAACUCACUAUCAAGACGUCUCUCCCUCCUUGGUAGCGGACGUUUUGUCUUCUUCUUGGGUGGCCCU